rnacentral:ribozyme from 1 species
GGCAGUGGUGGAGCCAAAUCGCCCUUGAGCCAAAAUGGCUACGGAUG